rnacentral:lncRNA from 1 species
GUUCCCUAAACCAAACAGAGCCUUAUUGGUUAUAUACAUUAACUCUCGUCAUGCUAUAAGCACAUAUCUUGGGUUAUGGAAGAAAUAUUUUUAUGUGGUGAUGACAUACUAAUUCACAUGAGUUAUAUAUAAUAUGGGUGGACGACAAGAUUGCUAUUUCAUAAACGUGUUAUAUAAUAUAAAUCAAUUGAUAACACUACGUAAUGAUGUGAUUGUUAGAGAUGGGAACGGGUCGGGUAGGAGCUGGGUAUGACAAUACCAUCCCCGUCCAGCUCUCCAUCCCUGCCUCUGUCCCCGAACCCAUCUCCGUUUAAUAGGUUUCCCCGUCCCCAUCCUCGUUGGGGGGACUAUCCCCCAUAUCCG